rnacentral:rRNA from 1 species
GAUGAACGCUGGCGGCGUGCCUAAUACAUGCAAGUCGAGCGAACGGACGAGAAGCUUGCUUCUCUGAUGUUAGCGGCGGACGGGUGAGUAACACGUGGAUAACCUACCUAUAAGACUGGGAUAACUUCGGGAAACCGGAGCUAAUACCGGAUAAUAUUUUGAACCGCAUGGUUCAAAAGUGAAAGACGGUCUUGCUGUCACUUAUAGAUGGAUCCGCGCUGCAUUAGCUAGUUGGUAAGGUAACGGCUUACCAAGGCAACGAUGCAUAGCCGACCUGAGAGGGUGAUCGGCCACACUGGAACUGAGACACGGUCCAGACUCCUACGGGAGGCAGCAGUAGGGAAUCUUCCGCAAUGGGCGAAAGCCUGACGGAGCAACGCCGCGUGAGUGAUGAAGGUCUUCGGAUCGUAAAACUCUGUUAUUAGGGAAGAACAUAUGUGUAAGUAACUGUGCACAUCUUGACGGUACCUAAUCAGAAAGCCACGGCUAACUACGUGCCAGCAGCCGCGGUAAUACGUAGGUGGCAAGCGUUAUCCGGAAUUAUUGGGCGUAAAGCGCGCGUAGGCGGUUUUUUAAGUCUGAUGUGAAAGCCCACGGCUCAACCGUGGAGGGUCAUUGGAAACUGGAAAACUUGAGUGCAGAAGAGGAAAGUGGAAUUCCAUGUGUAGCGGUGAAAUGCGCAGAGAUAUGGAGGAACACCAGUGGCGAAGGCGACUUUCUGGUCUGUAACUGACGCUGAUGUGCGAAAGCGUGGGGAUCAAACAGGAUUAGAUACCCUGGUAGUCCACGCCGUAAACGAUGAGUGCUAAGUGUUAGGGGGUUUCCGCCCCUUAGUGCUGCAGCUAACGCAUUAAGCACUCCGCCUGGGGAGUACGACCGCAAGGUUGAAACUCAAAGGAAUUGACGGGGACCCGCACAAGCGGUGGAGCAUGUGGUUUAAUUCGAAGCAACGCGAAGAACCUUACCAAAUCUUGACAUCCUUUGACAACUCUAGAGAUAGAGCUUUCCCCUUCGGGGGACAAAGUGACAGGUGGUGCAUGGUUGUCGUCAGCUCGUGUCGUGAGAUGUUGGGUUAGGUCCCGCAACGAGCGCAACCCUUAAGCUUAGUUGCCAUCAUUAAGUUGGGCACUCUAAGUUGACUGCCGGUGACAAACCGGAGGAAGGUGGGGAUGACGUCAAAUCAUCAUGCCCCUUAUGAUUUGGGCUACACACGUGCUACAAUGGACAAUACAAAGGGCAGCGAAACCGCGAGGUCAAGCAAAUCCCAUAAAGUUGUUCUCAGUUCGGAUUGUAGUCUGCAACUCGACUACAUGAAGCUGGAAUCGCUAGUAAUCGUAGAUCAGCAUGCUACGGUGAAUACGUUCCCGGGUCU